GGAAUUUUGUUCCUAGUUUGUGGCAAAAUUGGAAGCGCUUCAGACUAGUUUUUUUGCCUUCUUUUGGAUCAACAGCAACACAUAUGUGAGGAAGGCUGAACUUGAUGGGCGCAAGUCUCUUUUCAGCUAUGAAACUAUGUAACUAUGUAACACACUGCACAAAAACCGUGCUAAUAGCGUCACACAAAGCGGUUUAUUUCCAUCCAUAUUAUACGAAUCACU